rnacentral:rRNA from 1 species
UGUAGGACACUCUAUACGGAGUUACAAAAGAAAGUUAUAAAUGAAGCGGUCUGGAAAGGCCCGCCAAAGACGGUAACAGCCCGGUAGUUGAAAUGGCUUUCCCUCCAGAGUGGAUCCUGAGUACGGCGGAACACGUGAAAUUCCGUCGGAAUCCGGGAGGACCAUCUCCCAAGGCUAAAUACUCCCUAGUGACCGAUAGUGAACCAGUACCGUGAGGGAAAGGUGAAAAGCACCCCGGAAGGGGAGUGAAACAGUUCCUGAAACCGUGUGCCUACAAGUAGUUAGAGCCCGUUAAUGGGUGAUAGCGUGCCUUUUGUAGAAUGAACCGGCGAGUUACGAUUUGUUGCAAGGUUAAGCGGAAAAAGCGGAGCCGUAGCGAAAGCGAGUCUGAAUAGGGCGCAUAAGUAACAGGUCGUAGACCCGAAACCAGGUGAUCUACCCAUGUCCAGGAUGAAGGUAAGGUAAUACUUACUGGAGGUCCGAACCCACGCACGUUGAAAAGUGCGGGGAUGAGGUGUGGGUAGCGGAGAAAUUCCAAUCGAACUUGGAGAUAGCUGGUUCUCUCCGAAAUAGCUUUAGGGCUAGCCUCGAGGUAAAGAGUCAUGGAGGUAGAGCACUGUUUGGACUAGGGGCCCUUCUCGGGUUACCGAAUUCAGAUAAACUCCGAAUGCCAUGUACUUAUACUCGGGAGUCAGACUGCGAGUGAUAAGAUCCGUAGUCGAAAGGGAAACAGCCCAGACCACCAGUUAAGGUCCCCAAAUAUAUGUUAAGUGGAAAAGGAUGUGGGGUUGCUUAGACAACCAGGAUGUUGGCUUAGAAGCAGCCACCAUUGAAAGAGUGCGUAAUAGCUCACUGGUCGAGUGACCCCGCGCCGAAAAUGUACCGGGGCUAAACAUAUUACCGAAACUGUGGAUGAACCUCUUUAGAGGUUCGUGGUAGGAGAGCGUUCUAAGGGCGGUGAAGUCAGACCGGAAGGACUGG